AACGAACGCUGGCGGCAUGCCUAACACAUGCAAGUCGAACGAGACCUUCGGGUCUAGUGGCGCACGGGUGCGUAACGCGUGGGAACCUGCCCUUAGGUUCGGAAUAACUCCCCGAAAGGGGUGCUAAUACCGGAUAAUGUCUUCGGACCAAAGAUUUAUCGCCUUUGGAUGGGCCCGCGUUGGAUUAGCUAGUUGGUAGGGUAAAAGCCUACCAAGGCGACGAUCCAUAGCUGGUCUGAGAGGAUGAUCAGCCACACUGGGACUGAGACACGGCCCAGACUCCUACGGGAGGCAGCAGUGGGGAAUAUUGGACAAUGGGCGAAAGCCUGAUCCAGCAAUGCCGGGUGAGUGAUGAAGGCCUUAGGGUUGUAAAGCUCUUUUAACCGGGAUGAUAAUGACAGUACCGGGAGAAUAAGCUCCGGCUAACUCCGUG
rnacentral:rRNA from 1 species